UCUCUUUCCAUCUUCAAGAAAGCAAGUUCAUCUCAUCACCUUCAAGCCUUGUGACUCCAUAGCAAGGGAAGAAGAAAAAUAUUUUCUCUCAUCCUCUUCAAACCAUACGAGUAUACUCCCUCCCUACUCAUUUUCGGGUUUUGCCUCAAACCUUGGAACUAAAAUUUGAUUUCAUCUUCUAAAUGGUGAAAUAUUGAAGUGAUAUUGUGUUGCUCUUCUUCCACACGGAUUUACCACUAUUUGGUCCUCUAUCUUGCCUCUUGAAAGGGGCUAAGAGCUUAAGGAAUAUUGAUGAAUGAAAGUAUCGAGGAGCAUAGAGGUAA